UCCGUAGGCGGUUCUUUAAGUCAGUGGUGAAAUCCCAGAGCUCAACUCUGGAACUGCCAUUGAAACUGAAGAACUUGAAUAUGGUUGAGGUAGGCGGAAUACGUUAUGUAGCGGUGAAAUGCAUAGAUAUAACGUAGAACACCAAUUGCGAAGGCAGCUUACUAAACCAUUAUUGACGCUGAUGGACGAAAGCGUGGGGAGCAAACAGGAUUAGAUACCCUGGUAGUCC
rnacentral:rRNA from 1 species